CUGAAACAGGCCCCAGGUGUCAGAUUUUAUUUAUUGUUUGCCUUAAUCCGCGCAUGCUCGGUCUGCUUUGAGCCUUCCUUGAUUGCGAGCAGCUGUUCAGCAGUAAUUUUAUGAAAACAGGUUUGGCGUUUUUUCGUAUAUUCGACAGAACAGCCUGUUUAGAGUAACCUAUAGCUAAAUAAACAGACUAAAUCCAUCAUAGACAUCAAAACCACUGAUUCCGGAUUCAUAACUCAACAGCAGAACCAUAAAGUGUGGGCUCAGAACAGCACCAGAACUCGAUGGUGGGCUACUGUCUGUCAAAGAUCCUGAUCAUCCAGACAGCAGCUACAGUCAACAGAGAUCCAACAACAGCAGUAGUGAUGAACACCGUCCAAAAUGCUGAGCCUUCAGGAGGAAGAGGAGGAUUUUUAUGAUUGAGAGACAUUAACAUCCAGAAGAUCCCGACUCCAACAAAAGUCAUCAGAGAUCCAGCAGCAGCAGAUAUCAAAACUAUCUGAGAACCUGACACCGGAGGACCAGAAGAAAUAGAAGUGAAUGUGUUGGUCGGAUCUAUAUCACAGGACAG